GACACAAUUCGGUGUGGAGCUCACACACGACCGUCGAUUCGUUCAUUUCAUCGCCGCAUUCAACAGAAGACACACGUGUUUAUCGAAAACUCGUGGACAAACUGAUCACACAAAUUAAGAUAAUGUCGAAGAAAUUAAUUAUGUUGGACGAAUUUGGAUGGUCACCAAGGAAAAUUUCGAACAGAUGAGCUGAAAUUCAUCGCUGAAAAUGUACAUGUGAAACAUGCAUUGGUUCAAUGAAUCCUAACCUUAACACACCAUGUGCUGUUGACACCGCAAUCAGUUGAAGAUGGUUACCGGUUUGACUCUCUCGCAUCAAAAUUGCCGCAUACGGGCGGAAGCAUAAAUUGAUUAAAGCGUAUUUUGACGUUGAAUAAAUUGAAAACCUUAAAUGGGCACAAAUAAAUACAUUGAAAAUUAAAACGAA